GAACAGACUCUGGAGGAUAACCAACAGUGAUGCAACAGACAGGGGUAGUGUAGAAACUGUCCAUAGAGACUUUUCCCUGCCUUAGCUAUUUUGGAAUAAGGUAGAUCUAUUUAUGGACGUAUAUCCUAUCUAGAUGAAGAAAUGCUCAUAUGAUCAUUGACACAAAAAAAGUUUCACCUCAUUAAAGGAAAGGAGAGUGGGAAAUAAAGAUAUUCACAGAGAAGAAAAGUCAAGAGAACACUGAUGUGAAGUAUGCUUCAAGCAACAACGUUCUUUCAUCUGUUUUCAUCAGCGUUUCCUUUUUGAAAAAGAAUUUAACUGUGGAGGGCGAUUUUCUCUGAAGAAUGAGAGGGAUCAUCUUUCAAAUGUUGCCAACUAGAUGGAAGAUAUUUAUUCAUGAACGGCCCUGAAAUAUUUGGGAAAUGAUUUUAGCGACAAACGCUUUUGAAGAAAGCCUGAUUACAUGGAUCUGUUUCCCACCUGGCUGUUUUCUAAGCUAAGAAGCCUCUAGCCUAGUCUUAGAUGCAUGGGAUCCAUGUAGAUAAAUGAUCAGCUAAAGGACAUCUGAGUCAUGCAAUAAUCUCUAUUUAUUUACUACAGUUUUUUAAAAAUUUGGUCAUAGGUGUUUCAACAGGAAAGAGCAAACAAAUAUUUGCAGAAUUAUUUUUAUUUUGACUGGGGUCCAUGCAGAGAGCCUUCUCUGCUUUGGAACAUUCUGGUCCCCCCUCCCCCCCAUUUCUGGCUUUCUGGAAAUGUCUGAAGAUCUGGCUCUGACAAAUUGUUUGAUGCCCAAAGGAGCAUGCAACCAUGGGGCUGCUUAGUGCCUUGAAGGCCCUCCUCACUUUUAAAUUUAAUUUUGAAUUUUAAUUACUCUGUUAUUGUUUAACUGUCUGUUAUAAUAUUUAUAUAUAGCUUUUAGGUUUUUAUGUCUCAUUUUUACAUUGGCCAGGGUCACUCUGUGAGGGAGAUGGGUGAUUUCUAAAUGUGAUACAUAAAUAUAGAAAUGCUGAAGGAGAAAAGCUUAGUUUUUUUUUCUAAGCAUUUCACAUUGUGCACUCUAUUUCAGUGAAAUAAAAAGAUGUGCUGGCAGAUUUCCAAACACUAAUAUACCAGCAAAAAGUUCUGCAUCCAGCUGGAUGGAACAACUCUUGGGCUUGUCUAAAUGUUAUUGAUUGAAAUCUAAUGGAAACCCAGGAAAACUUAGGAUCCAGCAAAUCUUUGAGUAUUUUCCAAGUCUGGGGAUUUUGAUUCAGGAAGAUACCAAUAUAGAAGUCAAUGGGAGGAUAGAAUCAAAUAUAAAUUUCCUUCUUUUUAUUUAAGUGGCAAGUUUGAUCUAGUCUAUGAUUCCCAAGGACCUUAAGAUUGUUCUCUGAGUAUGUGUGUUUAAAAAAAGGGAGGUUACCAGAGAGGCACCAUUUUAGUUUGUUGCAAAACAUGGAUAGAAUAUUGUAGUAACAAAAACUAAGUUGUGGUUAACUUAUGGAAUAUUCAAUUUACUGUUGUCAUUAAAGUACCACAAGCCUAAUUUAAAAAUGGAUUGGUAUUCUAAUUCAUCCUUUCUGCUGAAAAGAAACAGCAAGAGUUAGCUUAGAUGAAUCAUAACGGGUGACUUUUGUGAAAGUCAAUAUGUUACCUGUAUGAUCAAAAAUCGGUAUUUUGUUCAGCUUAUCCAAGUGACCAGAUGAAUUAGGUGAUGUUGCUCCAAUAGUGGACUGCUUUGUGCAAUGCAGCAAUUUGGCAACAGUUGCCUGUGUGGGGCUUUCCUGUCUUUGUUCUCUAGGAUUAGAGGAGUUAAUCAAAACGACAGUGACUUCUGGCUUGAUAUAGUUAGAAAGGUCACAAACCUGAGGCUCAAUUGUUUUCCAGUCAAUGGUAAACUGGUACAUAAAAUGCUUGCAGCUUCCAUUCUGCACAAUGCAUUCCGCCAUGAAAUUAUCAAUCAGCAAGAAAAAGCCAUUACAAAAGGUGAACAAGGUCAAGGUUACAUUAGUUUCAGCACAUCUAGCCCAUUUUUCAAACUCUUCUUCCAAUAACAGGUAGUAAUGCUGAAAGGGAGCAGGUGUUAAAAAAAUGCAUAUCCUGCCUGAAUUUGAUGGAAAUUAGAUUCUCAGUUCCAGCCUCAUUCAAUGUGGACUCUAGAGCUGAACAAAGGAAAUUUGGAGCUCUCAGUUUCCACUAGGAUGAGUUAACAUACAAUGACAAGCUGAUUUUUCAUGUUGGGAAACCAGAAGU